rnacentral:rRNA from 1 species
GCUGUGUGUUACAAGUGUCACACGGAACUGCCGGUCAUAAACCGGAGGAAGGUGGGGAUGACGUCAAGUCAGCAUGGCCUUUAUAUCCUGGGCUACACACACGCUACAAUGGGAAGGGACAAUAGGUUGCGAAGCCGCGAGGCGGAGCCAAUCCAGCAAAACUUCCCUCAGUUCAGAUUGCAGGCUGCAACUCGCCUGCAUGAAGUUGGAGUUGCCAGUAAACGCAGGUCAGCCAUACUGCGUUGAAUACGUUCCCGGGGCUU